UACGUAGGUGGCAAGCGUUGUCCGGAUUUACUGGGCGUAAAGAGCGCGCAGGCGGUCGUGCAAGUCGCGUGUGAAAGCCCCCGGCUCAACUGGGGAGGGUCACGCGAUACUGCUCGACUCGAAGGCAGGAGAGGGAAGUGGAAUUCCCGGUGUAGUGGUGAAAUGCGUAGAUAUCGGGAGGAACACCAGUGGCGAAGGCGGCUACCUGGCCCAUUCUUGACGCUGAGGCGCGAAAGCUAGGGGAGCAAACGGG
rnacentral:rRNA from 1 species